GGAAGGAUCAUUCACACUUUCCAGUUGACCAGUCAACCAUGAACCCGUGCUUUCUGCUUCUCUUUUCACAGCGGGUUUCAUUGAGAUCCGUGGCGGUUUCUUGACGCGCCGGGUGAUAGAGGCGGGAUUGGCUUUUAUUGGGCCAGUCAAUACUUGAAGCGAUUUGGCAGAAACUGCUGUUUCAUUAUUUUCAGCAAUGGACGUCUAGGUUCCCUAAUCGAUGAAGGACGCAGUGAAUUGCGAUAAGCAGUGCGAAUUGCAGAAAUCUGUGAAUCAUCAGACCUCUGAACGCAUAUGGCGCUGCUACAACUCGUUUGUGCAGCGUGUUUGGCUCAGUGUCUUUCAGCACCCCAAAUAGAGCAAGUGGUGACGUCGUGCGUUAUGGCGCCGCCAACGCUCCGUCGUCGUGAAACGUGGGAAACUACAUCGACUGCAGCAUCAGCUGAGGAUUCGUUUCUUCUUCGGGCUGCUAGUAACCGUAGUGUUGUCCCCUUGUACUUGAAAAUGACCUGAGCUCAAGCAAGGCGACCCGCUGAAUUUAAGCAUAUAAUUAAGCGGAGGAAAAGAAACUAAGCAGGAUUCUCUUAGUAGUUGCGAAUGAACAGAGAGUAGCUCAAAAUGAAAAUCACGCGCUCUUGCGUGCGUGAAUUGUAGUCUGAAGGAGUGCUGCCUGUAAACGUCGCAGGGAAAAGUCUCUUGGAAGAGAACGCCGGAGAGGGUGAGAGUCCCGUCGCUGCCCUGCAACACGUUCACACACGGAGUACGUUCUUAGAGUCGCGUUUCUUGGGAGUGAAACGCAAAAAUGGUGGUAAACUUUAUCUAAGGCUAAAUAUGCUGUGGGAAACCGAUAGCAGAUAAGUACCUUGAGGGAAAGAUGAAAAGGACUUUGAAAAGAGAGUUAAAAUUCCCCGAAAUUGCUGAAACGGAAGCGGUUGAAACGCACCGAGUGUACCUUGAGAGUUUAGGAGCACCUGCGGCAGAACGGCGCUGCGAACACAAUCGGCUUGCAGCGUCAGCUUUGUUGUGGAACUUUGAGUCUCUCAAGUGGAAUCAGCUGUGAUCUUAGCGUCAUGAAGCGGGCUCAGUUCGGACGCGACUUUCGAGUCCGUUGCAGUUCUGAUGCUCUGUUAGGUGGCGGAGAUCAAGGAAAUCGCUUGCUGGUACAGCUUCGGCGUCCAGGAAGGUGGCAGCUGAUAAACAGUUUUUACCGGCCCGUCUUGAAACACGGAUCAAGGAGUCCAACAGAUAUGCGGGUCCAGGGGUCGCAACCCCACGGGCAUAAUGAAAGUAACGGUUCCUUGCUGGAACAACCGACCACAAUCUCUGAGAGAGGUUUGAGUAGGAGCAUAUCUGUUGGGACCCGAAAGAUGGUGAACUAUUCCUGAAUAGGGUGAAGCCAGGGGAAACCCUGGUGGAGGCUCGUAGCGAUACUGACGUGCAAAUCGUUCGUCAAAUUUGGGUAUAGGGGCGAAAGACUAAUCGAACCAUCUAGUAGCUGGUUCCCUC
rnacentral:misc_RNA from 1 species